rnacentral:rRNA from 1 species
AUGGAGCCGACCUUGAAAUACCACCCUUUAAUGUUUGAUGUUCUAACGUUGACCCGUAAUCCGGGUUGCGGACAGUGUCUGGUGGGUAGUUUGACUGGGGCGGUCUCCUCCUAAAGAGUAACGGAGGAGCACGAAGGUUGGCUAAUCCUGGUCGGACAUCAGGAGGUUAGUGCAAUGGCAUAAGCCAGCUUGACUGCGAGCGUGACGGCGCGAGCAGGUGCGAAAGCAGGUCAUAGUGAUCCGGUGGUUCUGAAUGGAAGGGCCAUCGCUCAACGGAUAAAAGGUACUCCGGGGAUAACAGGCUGAUACCGCCCAAGAGUUCAUAUCGACGGCGGUGUUUGGCACCUCGAUGUCGGCUCAUCACAUCCUGGGGCUGAAGUAGGUCCCAAGGGUAUGGCUGUUCGCCAUUUAAAGUGGUACGCGAGCUGGGUUUAGAACGUCGUGAGACAGUUCGGUCCCUAUCUGCCGUGGGCGCUGGAGAACUGAGGGGGGCUGCUCCUAGUACGAGAGGACCGGAGUGGACGCAUCACUGGUGUUCGGGUUGUCAUGCCAAUGGCACUGCCCGGUAGCUAAAUGCGGAAGAGAUAAGUGCUGAAAGCAUCUAAGCACGAAACUUGCCCCGAGAUGA